rfam:Salmo salar isolate Sally breed double haploid chromosome ssa02, whole genome shotgun sequence.
UGAAUUCACUACUGUAAGUCGCUCUGGAUAAGAGCGUCUGCUAAAUGAAUAAAU